CACAGCUCUGUGGUGAAGAACACACAUAAAAUUGCAAAUCUUAAGACGCAGACUAACCUCUGCCGGGGCUUUUCU